rnacentral:rRNA from 1 species
UACGUAGGGUGCAAGCGUUGUCCGGAAUUAUUGGGCGUAAAGGGCUCGUAGGCGGUCUGUCACGUCGGGAGUGAAAACUCGGGGCUUAACCCCGAGCCUGCUUCCGAUACGGGCAGACUAGAGGUAUGCAGGGGAGAAUGGAAUUCCUGGUGUAGCGGUGGAAUGCGCAGAUAUCAGGAGGAACACCGAUGGCGAAGGCAGUUCUCUGGGCCGUAACUGACGCUGAGGAGCGAAAGCGUGGGGAGCGAACAGG